rnacentral:misc_RNA from 1 species
UUACAUAAAUUAAAAAUGGAGGACAGAUCGUGAUUCAACGUAAAAUAUUUUCAUCCAUCCGUACUGGAUUUUCUUGAUUUUCGUACUGUUUCGAGACAUUCCUGCCACAAUGUCUGAACUAAACAUUAGCUCCCUCUCCGUUGAGGAACUUAAAACAGAACUAGGACGUUUGCAGCAGGAAUUAACAGAAACAAACCAAGAAAAAAUCCGAGCGGCAGAAUACGGAUUGGCCGUCCUUGAAGAAAAGCAUCAACUCGAGAGCCAUAUAGAAGAACUCGAGACUGAAAAAGAACACAUCAAAACUGAACUAGAGCAUGCCAAAGAGACGCUCAGUAAACAUCAAGGGAUUUUUAAGAAGCAAAAUGAGAGCGGCAUCAAUCUGGAGGACAGUAUCAUUCGCGAGUCAGUGUCAAGGGAGCAGGGGUAUCAGGAAAACAUACAGAGCCUUGAAGUAGAACUCAAAACCUGCAAACAGAACCAUGAAAGGCUCUCCUCUGAACAUACUGUUAUGGCAAACCUGGUGUCUGAUCUACAAACAAAAUGUGAUCAGCUGGAGGAUCAGAGAAGACAGUUGAAGAGCGAGUUGAAAGAGUACAAGAUCAGAGAAAACAGAAAUAUUGUCGACUAUUCAGAAUUGGAAGAGGAAAACAUAUCUCUGCAAAAGCAAGUGUCUGUGUUAAAACAAAGUCAGGUAGAGUAUGAAGGAUUAAAACAUGAAAAAAAGCGAUUAGAAGAAGAGUUGGAUGACCUGAACAUGCAGUUAGAUGAAAGUGUGUCAUUGAAAAAAAUAGUAGAUAAAAAUCUUGAAGAGGCACUGAAUGCAUUGCAAGUUGAAAGGGAGCAGAAACAUGCUUUGAAGAAAGAACUUGAUGCUAGAUUAACGCAGGAGUCAAUGUUCAAUUUGAGCAAUUUAGCACAACUUGGUGGCCUCAGUGAUGGUUUGAAACUGAAUAAUCAUGAAGGUGAAGGAGAUGAAGAAGAUCAACAUCCAGCACUCAAGAGAGUAGAGGCAGAUUAUGAACAUAAAGAAGAAGGUCAACCAAGGAAAGGGCCAGGCAAAGUCAAUGAUAUUCUUAGUGAAAUUCAACAAAAUGAAGUUAAGAAAUUAGAACAAAUGCUGGAGCAGAGUGAAGAGGAGAAAAUAGAACUGCAGAGAGCAUUAGACGAAGCAAAGAAAUUAAUUGAAGAUACACAGUCUGACCUUAUUGAACAAAAAGACAGAGCAAAUCAGUUAAAAGCACAAAUAAGUGCUGCUUUAGCCAGUGGGAGCCUUGAUUCAUCCCCAGAUAGUGAUGUUACAGAUUAUUUAGACCAACAAAUUGCAAAUGAAUCAGAUCAAGGAAAGAAAGCUUUACUCGAAAUGAAGAAAAAUUUGCUUAUGAAUGAAAAGAAAUAUUCCUCAGCUUUACAGCAGAUCAAUGAACUUCAGUCUGAAAUCAGUAACUUAAUGGACAAAAACAAGCAAGGAGGUCUUAAAGAAGGUGAUCCUGCCAUAACAGAAAUUCUUAAUCAACUUCAGGCUAAGGUCAAGCAAUAUGAAGAUGUUAUAAAAGACAUGAAUAAAGACUUGAAAACAUUUACAAAGAUUGCUGGAGAAUCUCAAGGUUCCUUAAACAUGACACAGGAAGAAAUGUUGAAAGUUACUGAGGAAUUGGCACAGUUGUAUCAUCUUGUUUGUGAAGUUAGUGGAGAGACACCAAGUCGUGUGAUGCUUCAGCAUGCCAAAGCCAUUGACAAACUGUCAAAACAAGACUCCAGAGAAGGAAGUGAAGAACAAGGAGAGAAAGAGGAGGGAACUGCUGAAAAGGAAAGUGGUAAAAAGAGAAAAUCAAAGCCGAAAAAGAGUCCGGUUGAAAGUUAUGAGAACUCUGUGAAGGCUGAUGCAAAUUCCUGUCAAAAAUUAACUGAAACCAUUCUUGACCAGACAAAACAUUUGAAAAAAUCUGUUGAGCAUUUAAUGGAAGUUUCAAGAAAUAGAACAGACGACAAUGAACAGUCAGAUGCUCAAGAAUUACAAGAACAAAUUGUUAAGUUGAAAGCAAUGUUGUCAACAAAGAGGGAACAGAUUGCAACAUUAAGAAGUGUUCUCAAAGCCAAUAAAUCAACAGCUGAAUUUGCUUUGGCUAACUUGAAACAGAAAUAUGAAAAUGAAAAAGUAAUUGUAACAGAGACAAUGCUGAAAUUGAGAAAUGAACUGAAGGCUCUUAAAGAGGAUGCAGCCACUUUUGCUUCUCUGAGAGCCAUGUUUGCGCAGCGCUGCGAUGAAUAUGUCACCCAGCUUGAUGAAUACCAACGCCAGCUUGCAGCUGCAGAAGAGGAAAAGAAGACCCUUAAUUCUCUUCUACGAAUGGCUAUCCAACAGAAACUGGUGUUAACACAGAGACUAGAGGACUUGGAGUUUGACAGAGAGCGACGGAACAUGCGUCGACCGCAAGGGGGCGGCGGUAGAAACAAGUCUGGCGCUUCCAAAGUAAGUCACUACAAUGAUGAACAGUCAUAUAGUGGGCGCUAUGGGGGAGGCAGACACCAUAACUAUCAAAACCAUCAUAGCCAUUCAAAUCCAAGACGCGACUAUUAGAACUUGAUUCCUCCAUUCCUGCAAGUACCAGUUUAUUUUGGGUAAUGACCACAAGUAUGGAGUCAACUAACGGGACAUUGUAAAUGCUGAACAGAUAAAUGCAUUUGUUGUUUCGUCGGGGGAAGUGAGACUGUCCUGAUUGUGGCUGGUUUACCAAAGAAUUGAAUGGCUCAUGAGCACUGUCUCGUGUUUUAUCCCAAAGAAUUCAUCCACCAUAUUGAUAUUACAUUGAUCACGGUCUUGUAUCUGUGGUAGAAAACAUUUGAUAGUUGCUACUUUUUACAGUGAAUUUGUGCUUCAUAUUUGGUACUUUGGAAAACAUUUCUUAUAAAGGUUUCGACUGAGGUGGCUACAUGUUCUAGGUCACGAGAGAUGGAAGGUCGUCAUGGAAGCACAGUUCAGACUGGGGUAGCAACAUACUAGUGCCAGUGCAUUUAUGGUCAUGUGACCAUGAAGUAAACAGCUGAUUGGGUAUUGAACUUUCAAACCCAAAAACUGUUUGAUUUUAUAGAAAUAUCAUAAAAAUACAUUUUUUGUGUUGUGAUAAGAUUACUUGGAAACAAGUGUUGUUCAAAUAUUUGGUUUUACCAUUAUUCCUGAUGAAGAUGAAGAGUACACAUGCUGAAAUAUUUAAUUAAUAUUGUCUUGCAGAUAUCACAUAAAGAGCUUUAGGUAAUAACGCUUCUUAAUGUCAUCAUGAAUGGAUAAAAUAGAAUUUAAAAUAGCUGACUGUUUAAAACAUCUAAAAAAAUUGUAACUUUAUAUAUAUAUAUGAUUAUAUUAGAGUAGUAGAUGUUAUGUGUACUCAGAAUACAGUCAAGAAUGGGAGGUUAAUAGUUCAUGAGAUUAUUAUGGUAUACAAGAAAUGUCAUUUUUAUUCCCAUUUUUGUACAUAAACAUGACGUUGUUGUUAGAACCGCAGAGCUGUGAUGUUUUACUAUCUAUAGCAAACUUUUAAAACACCAAUAUGAAGUUAUUUUAAUUUUUAAAUUUCUUAAAAAAAAGGUUUAAGAGUUCAAUAUCGUAGUAAUUUACUAUUUAGUCAGAGAUGUCUUGAUAAGUAAUAUUGAAAAUAAAUUUCAAGACAUGUAUAUUACUUGGAGAAUAAAACGUAACAUUGAUUUGUUACUGUGAAAAGCGGGUUUUAAUUAAUUGGUGCAAUUUUAGAGUAAGUAAGGUUGGCGGUUUGGGUGUUUAAAAUUAUUUUGUUUAAAUUUUGGUUCACAGUUCUUUUAAUUCACAUUAUAUUUCAUUUACUUUCAUUUCUUUUAUUAAAGAUGCCUUUUAGUUGAUUUCUUAAAGGUGCUUUUAUGUUUUUGUUUUACCUAUUUAUCAAAGCUUCCUUUAAUGUACUUCUCACCGUGUAAAGCAGCUUAUAAAGUAUUUAUUCUGUGUUAUAAUACAUUGUAAGAAUAUCGGAUACAGAGCGUUUUAACUGUAGAAAAGAUCAUUAAAUAUUUACUACAAAGUAUCUUUUUAACAGUUCCAUAGAACUGCCCAAUGUGGUGUUCUGUCGGAUUUCUAAGAUUUAAGAAAUGAUAAUAGAUGAUUAAGAAACAGGUGCUUUAUAUAAUUGGUACAACAUUUGACAACGCUUCAAGGUACAUCAGAGGGGAAAAGCUUUUCCCUUAAUGCUUUUCCUAUGCUUACCAUGGCAUGAUAUAUUUUUCCUGUGAUAAUAUAUUUAAGUUUCAUCAUUUAAAUUAUAAUCUCAUUGUAUUAAAGUUUUCUAUUUAUGUGAAAGACUGUUUGACAGUUGCUUUGUUACUACUAAUACAUCUUACUAAACAGAUACACUGAUAUUUACACUUUAAUAUAGGGGUAUUCUACAAAAUCUGAAGAAAAAAUAUAUAACUUUUUUUUUAUGUAACACAAAAAUUUAUGAUAUUAUGCUGAUAAUUCUUGUGUUCAGCUGUUUGUGUUCUAUGAACUUUAUCUGCUGGAGUGUUUUCCACAUAAUCAUGCUAUUCUUGCAUCUGAUUGGUCAAUUGACUAUAAAUGCUGAAAUCUGAUUGGUUUAUUUGAUACUGACAUUCUAUUGGUUUAUUUUGCUAUAUAAGGCUACCUCAAGAUGUAAAUAUUGAAUCUGAGUAAUGACAUGUUACUAGAAAUCAGAAUGAAAAAAAAAUGUAAAAUUCAAACAAGCGAGAAAGGUGUUACUUCAAAAUUACUAUCGAAGCUUGUUGGUUAAAUUGAUUUAUACCCAUUGAUUGAAUUGAUGUAAUGAAUAAAAAGAUCAAUUAAAAUUAACUGAAAAAUUCUUAGAAUCAGUUUUGACAUAAUUUAUUAUUGAGCCUUUUAUCAUUCUAUAUGUAUAUAUAUCUAGCUUUUUAUGGGAAAAUGUUGAUGACUGUUUUCUUGUAUACAAAUUGUGCUGUAAUAUUUAUAUGCUUCAGUUUCUUUAGUUCUAAAUUUUAUUUAAGUUGCUGGUUAUUUUUAAAGAGAAAGAAAGUUUUUAUGUUUAUGUCUUAUUUUAUGGUGAUAAUACAGUUAAAUAUAUGCAAGUGUUUUUAUAUAUUUACAUACUGUUGCGUCUUAGAAUAUGUAUAAUCUCCAUUUCAAAGAAUUUACAGUAGUUGUACAUUUUAAAGGAAAAGUUUAUAUUUUAGUUGGGUUGGGCUUGAGCUGAAAAUUGCAUCAAUUAUCAAAACAAAAUUUAGGCAGAGUGCAAGUUUUGUUGAAUAUGUGUGAUUAUGUAUGCAUGAAUGUUGCUAUGUAUUAUCAUAUUUCUAUGCUGUGUCAAAGAUUACAGAAAAUAGAUGAAAAUGAACA